CGACCUGGUGGCUAUGGCGGGGAAACUACACCCGAUCCCAUCCCGAACUCGGACGUGAAAUGCCCCAGCGCCCAUGGUACUGCAUCUCAAGAUGCGGGAGAGUAGGUCGCCGCCAGGUCUUC
rnacentral:rRNA from 3 species